GACGAACGCUGGCGGCGUGCUUAACACAUGCAAGUCGAACGGUAAGGCCCUUCGGGGUACACGAGUGGCGAACGGGUGAGUAACGCGUGAGUAACCUGCCCUUCACUCUGGGAUAACAGUUGGAAACGGCUGCUAAUACCGGAUAUUCAGCUCCUGUCGCAUGGUGGGGGUUGGAAAGUUUUGGUGGUGGAGGAUGGGCUCGCGUCCUAUCAGCUUGUUGGUGGGGUGAUGGCCUACCAAGGCGUCGACGGGUAGCCGGCCUGAGAGGGCGACCGGCCACAUUGGGACUGCGAUACGGCCCAAACUCCUACGGGAGGCAGCAGUGGGGAAUAUUGCACAAUGGGCGGAAGCCUGAUGCAGCAACGCCGCGUGCGGGAUGACGGCCUUCGGGUUGUAAACCGCUUUCAGCAGGGACGAAGCGCAAGUGACGGUACCUGCAGAAGAAGCACCGGCUAACUACGUG
rnacentral:rRNA from 1 species